rnacentral:rRNA from 1 species
UACGUAGGGUGCGAGCGUUGUCCGGAAUUACUGGGCGUAAAGAGCUCGUAGGUGGUUUGUCGCGUUGUCCGUGAAAACUCACAACUCAAUUGUGGGCGUGCGGGCGAUACGGGCAGACUGGAGUACUGCAGGGGAGACUGGAAUUCCUGGUGUAGCGGUGGAAUGCGCAGAUAUCAGGAGGAACACCGGUGGCGAAGGCGGGUCUCUGGGCAGUAGCUGACACUGAGGCGCGACAGCGUGGGGAGCAAACAGG